rnacentral:lncRNA from 1 species
AGCUUUCAGAGGAAAGAUGCUAUGCAAAUUUGAGGUGACCUCACUAUUACAAUAAUAAUUUUUUUUGCACUAAGACGAAAUUUUUCCUUAUCCUAAAGCCUUCCUACCAAGGUAGACUUUUUUCACUGUGGGUUUUUGUGAUUUAAAUUCACCAAGCACUGAUAGUUUCAAGUUUAUUUCAGUAUUAAGCAGGAAAGCAGUUUCUGCAUGAAAUGUGAAAACUAAAAUACCAUAGUAAUGAAAAAGAUUCCGCAUCCUCAGGUGCAGCCCACGUUGUGGUGUAAUGCAAAUCUAUGGCUAUACUGUAUCACAGCGAAUAAAUCCAUUUGGAGAAAAAGGCACCUGGUGAAAGGCCACAGUGCAAUGGAAUGCAAUGCUGCUAUGUGCAAUGCUGCUUACAAGAAAACUUUGGGUAAAUAUUGCACGGGUCAAACUUACGAUCCAACUUUUUCACGUAACAGGGCCGCGUAUUGGAUGCCUUCAGAAUUCCCAUUCAGCGUGUCCACUUUGCUCUUUGAUGCAAUGCCACCUCACAAAAGCAUUCAAGCCACAGUCAUCUAUUUUUUUCCUUCUUUCUCCCCUUGCUAUAAUGACCCAAAUCUCCCUUUUUACUUUGUAAUUUUUGUAAGUUUUUUAAGGCAAUGACUAUAAUAAUUCAUGUUUGGUGAAAUAAUUCUUUUGGUUGAUAUAUUUCACAGUUUGGUCUCUAAAAAAAGUUAAAAAACAACAACAAGAACCAAAAACAAACAACCCCCCGCCCCAAGCUUCCCUCUGCUUGAUGCCAUAGACAAGAGUCCAAAGGACAUUACUUGCUCCAUUGCACACAUUGGAAGGGAGAGUUUGCUGUGAGCUCAGUCCUUCUAAUAGACUGGCAAUUUUGUAAAAGAUUUAGAGAAUUUUGUUUAACCAUUUCUGCAUGUGUUUUUAAUGAGCUCAUGACGGUUUCUAACAAAGGCCAGGUUGUGUGUUUUCCAGCACUUUCUGACCUGAUUCCUCCCUGCUGACUUGGGGAGUGGGCACCUGUGCUUCUCUCCUGGCUCACCUAUGGGAGUCGGGGUGCUGGGGCCAUCUCCGGGCCUGUCUUCACGCCAGGGAUGAAUCAUGUAGUAGGCAGAGUGGAAGGAGUCUCUUUGUUGACAGCUUUCCAUCUGGACUUUGGAUACGGCUGAUCGUUCAUGUAGAGCCGUGGUUAGCUGGAAGGGGCUACGCGAGUCAGCUGCUCCUUAAGGGAUCAAGGGUGUGUAAAACAUCAGGAAAGAACUGCCUGGGAUUUCAUUUGCAAAGCUUAGAGAAGCAUUUUAUCCUCUGAGUUUCAGGUAGCCAGGGUUGUGAAUGUGUAUGACUGCAGCUUUGACAGGUCGGUCUUUAAUAGUCAGUAGGAUCAUUUAUAGCCUCGUUCAGAUAAUCCAACUGGAGUACACCUGAAUAAAUACAUCAAGCUCAGGUGGCUAAAAGCUAACCCCUUUUGAGUUUAAUAAUUAAAAUAAACAGAGCUAUGAAGAUGAAUUUCAGUUUGUCAUGCAUAAAUGUAAGAAGCUCCAUAAAGGAUGGUGUUCUGUGAUUCAUAUAGGAGUAUGAUGGAUGUAUGAUACGUUUUCCACAGCUAUUUAAGAAAAAACGAUUAUCUUAGUCAUGGGGUAAACUUAUGUGAAGCAUUGCACCAUCCAGGCUGUGUCUGGGCCAGUACAGAUUUUUUUUCUUUUUCUUUUUCUUUCUUUCUUUUUUUUUUUUUGUGAAAGAUUACUUCUUGGCAAACUAGAUAUGCAAACGCCAGAAUACAGUAAAACCACAUUUAAUUGGACCUACUUGCCAACUUCUUGAACACAGCUUGGAUUAUUCCACUGGAGGCUGCUUCUGUUAAAAGCUGGGGGAGGAGGAAGUGGCAUAUUGACAAGACUUCAGAUAAUUUUUUUUCACUCGAAGUACAAUUAUGCAAUGAGCCAAGUUUGGAAGUAUUUUACUAUGUUUAAUAAUUAUUAUUAAAGAUAUUGUAAAACAUAUGCAUUUGUUAAGUGGAAUGUAAUGGGAGUAAAAUCAUGUCAUCAAUUUUCCUUUGGAUUUAUUUUCCCAUUUUGUGUUUUAUUUGACAGCCUUCCAAAUUGAUUCUAGCCAAAACCAUGCACUCUAAUAUAUAUCAUACUUGAUAUUAAAGUGAGAAUGCGAGUAAUUUAUAGAAUCUGAGUGAGAACAGUUUUCUUCUCUUAGCCAGCCUAUAUGGAGCUGCCACCUCUGCUCAGGUAGCAAGCGACACAUGCCUUGUACACAGAAAGGAAAAUAAGAGGGGUCGAGAAAUCCUCCACACAUCCUUCCUGAUAGACACUCCAAAACCCACAUAUCCCAGGCAUUGUUCAGUGGGAGAUCAGGGGCAAGGAGAAGGAUAACUAUUUCUUUAUGUGUGUGUGAAUCUAGAGGAACCAGACUUGUCUCUGGAAAUGCAAGUGGGAAGUGGGAUUCACUGAGAAGCCACCAUUCUGCUCAGGUGAGUCCUGACUUCAGGCGAGGGAUCCUAAAGGUGACACCGCGAUCCUUCAUCUGGAAAGCCAAGGAGACAUGACAUCAGUGUGUUUCACAUCCUAAGCUUAAACAAAUGUAUAUUGUUUUUACCGCCUCUUUCUCAAGGGGGAACACUGCCCCUGAAACUGCACUCCUUGAAACCGAGCAAAGGUGCCAUCGCUAAUGAUUAGCAAGACGCUCCGGAUGGUUUGCAUCCAACUCCACCUGCUAUGUGAAAACCCCAUGCUUUUCUCACUUUCCCAUUCAAGCUGCUUAGCAGUUGGGUCCUCUCCUCUGAGUGUGGUUAUGUGUCAGUUUGACUUCUGUGUGCCCUGCGAUUUCGUUGUUUUCUUCUGCCCUGCCACAGCAAAUGACCAGUGGAGGCAACCCGCGGACGGAGGAAAAGGGCAGGUCCCUGCAUCCAUCUCAGCGCCCUGCAGCCGGCGGCCUGUCCUUUCAGGCGGGAGUUCCCAGCGGCGUUCCUAGGUGUUUUGAAUGUGUGCCCCGGGGCUGGGGGAAGCCUCGUGCAGCUCUGCUGCUGUGGGAGGCAGGGGGGACUGGAGGGGACGGGAGCAGUGUGAGGCUUUCAUGUGCAGAGGGGACAUGAGGACAUCUGGACGGCAUCCCUGUGAGCAGGGCUCCCGCUGCAGGCCUUUGAAAACCCCGCUGCCCUGGCUCCCCAGUGCCUUGGAACUUUCUCCCUGGAGAAUGCAGAAAAGCCAGUGCCCUUGAUUUCUUAGACAUCUACAGCUUCGACACGUGCAGGGUUAUCCAGGAGCAGUGAGGUUUGGGGUGAGGGCCUGAGCACUUUCUGAAAAGUGCUUGUUUCUAAGAACCUGGAACUAUGAGUGAGGAGUGACGUGAGUUCUGCCCUCAAGUCCUCUGAUAACCAGCUGUGCAGUCUUGAACAAGUGACUUCAUCUCUUCAUCUUUAAAAUAAACCUUUUGGGCCAAAUGACUCGAAUGUUUUUCCAACUUCAUUUUUUUUUUUUUUUUUACUGUUUAACAGAAAUGCUGAUUGAACUUGGGCUGGGAACAAAGAAAUCUUUUCUAAUUAGAGUAGAAAUGAUGACUAAUAUACUGCUCAAGCUUCUGAGGCUCAUUGGGAUCAAAGGCACACUCACUCUGAUAAGGGAGGGCACUGACCGGGCUGCUGACUGUUUCCACCAGCCUUCGGGUUUUAACAUCUAACUAUAGUUAUGCCCAUGCAUGCUGGCCAUGUGCUAGACACACGCUUCCUUGUCUUUGCUGAAGUCUAGUGGCUUUUGGGUUAUUUGUAUUUUUUAACAGGAGAAACCUGAGAGAUCCUAAGUAGAUAUCAGGCAAGAGCUUGUCUAGUUCCAUGUUUUGUUUUGUAUGUUUUGUUUUGAGAUAGGGUCUUGCUCUGUCACCUAGGUUGGAGCUCAGUGGUGCAAUUGUGGCCCACCGUAGCCUCGAACUCCCGGCCCAAGUCAUCCUCACAUCUCAGCCUCCUGAGUAGCUGGGACAACAGGCGUGCGCUUCCUGGCUAUUUUUUUUUUUUUUUUUUUUUUGUAGAAACAGGGUUUUGCCAUGUUGCCCAGGCUGGUCUCAAAUUCCUGGGCUCAAGCGAUUUGCCCUCCUCGUUCUCCAAAUGUGCUAGGAUUACAGGCAUGAGCCACCGAACCCAGUCCACUUCCAUGGAUUUUAAAAAUGUUAAACACCUACCUUUAAGAAAGAUGAUGAGGCAAUAUCACCUUUGUUUUUGUUGCCGUCUAUCAGAGAGAAUGACUCCUAAGGAGUCAUUCCUAUGAGUCUUGCAGAGUGAUUUUCUGUUUGUUCAGCUCCUUCACAGAGUCUUGGUUGGACAGCUCCCCGUCACCUUCCCCGACAGGGCCUUGCCUUUGAAAAGGCUAAUUCUGGUAGACAGGCAGCUUCAACAGGAAGUGGCACACCAAGGACCAUUGCUUUUGGAUGUGGUUCAUGGGAUGUGGAGUGUCCAAGGAGAUGCUGAUAGGCCUAAAGAUCAGAGAUCAUUUGACUUCGGUAGAUUGUCAAAAGAGAACACAACACAAUUGCAAAUGGACUUUAAAAUGAGAGAAAAUCAAAUUUCUAGUGACAAUCAUAAAAAUGCCACAAUCCACCAUGGACAGCCACACCACCAACCUAGUCAUUUUUUAUAUUUCUAGCUUGUACUUAAUCCAUUCCAGCAUGGAGCAAAACGCUACCAGUGUUCU